AUUGAACGCUGGCGGCAGGCCUAACACAUGCAAGUCGAGCGGAUGAAGGGAGAUUGCUCCUGGCUUCAGCGGCGGACGGGUGAGUAAUGCCUAGGAAUCUGCCUGGUAGUGGGGGAUAACGUCCGGAAACGGGCGCUAAUACCGCAUACGUCCUGAGGGAGAAAGUGGGGGAUCUUCGGACCUCACGCUAUCAGAUGAGCCUAGGUCGGAUUAGCUAGUUGGUAGGGUAAAGGCCUACCAAGGCGACGAUCCGUAACUGGUCUGAGAGGAUGAUCAGUCACACUGGAACUGAGACACGGUCCAGACUCCUACGGGAGGCAGCAGUAGGGAAUAUUGGACAAUGGGCGAAAGCCUGAUCCAGCCAUGCCGCGUGUGUGAAGAAGGUCUUCGGAUUGUAAAGCACUUUAAGUUGGGAGGAAGGGCAGUAAGUUAAUACCUUGCUGUUUUGACGUUACCAACAGAAUAAGCACCGGCUAACUUCGUG
rnacentral:rRNA from 1 species